rnacentral:tRNA from 1 species
GGCCUGAUGGCGGAGUGGUUACGCAGCGGACUGCAAAUCCGCGCACUCGGGUUCGAUUCCCGAUCAGGCCUCCA